AAUACAUGAUGAGGUCCACUUCUAGGUCCGUGUUUAUGAAUUAUAUGAUCUUAGUGGAAGUUCUGACUAA